CAUGUACUCCCUCCAUUCGGAAUUACUUGUCACAGAAAUGGAUGUAUCUAGAGCUAAAAUACGUCUAGAUACAUCCAUUUCCAAGACAAGUAAUUCCGAACGGAGGGAGUACUAG
rnacentral:pre_miRNA from 1 species